rnacentral:lncRNA from 1 species
CGCAGGAGGCGGGCGCUCCCGUUCACACUGCUGGCCGAGUGGAGGAAAUUUCCUCCCAAACAGGCGCUUUCCAGGGUCACGAAAUACCGGUUGUCCCUGGGACAGGCCGUGUGUCAUGAAAGACAUGGGGCCUCCAGCCUGACAGCAAGCCCACAGGAGGCCCCCAGCCAGAACCACCCCACUCGGCGGCUCCGGAUUCCUGACCCUGGGCUGCUGUGAGAUGAUGAACGUCUGUCCUGAACCCCCAAACUGUUCCACAGCAGACGCACCAUUUUACACUCCGCCCAGCCGUGUACGAGGGUUCCAGUGUCUCCACGUCCUCGCCAACACUUGCUAUUUUCCGUUUUCUUGAAUAAAGUCGUCCUGGUGGGUGCGAAGUGCUAUCUCACUGUGGUUUUGAUUUGCGUUUCCCUAGUGACUAAUGAGCCAGCCCCGGUGGGCUAGUGGUUAAGAUCUGGCGCUCUCGCUGCCAUGGCCCAGGUUCAUCUCCUGGUCCGGGAACCACACCACCCGUCUGUUGGUUGUCACACUACAGGGGCUGCAUGUUGCUGUGAUGCUGAAAGCUAUGCCACCAGGAUUUCAAACACCAGCAGUGUCACCCAUGGUGGACAGGUUUCAGCGGAGCUUCCAGACUAAGACAGACUAGGAAGAAGGAACUGGCCACCCAUUUUCGAAAAAAUUGGCCAUGAAAACCCUGUGAACAGCAGUGGAGCGCUGUCUGAUCGAGCGGCUGGAAGGCGAGAGGAUGGCGCAGAAAGCCCAGGCGGGUUCCGCUCUGCUGUGCACCAGGCGCUAGGUGUUGGAAUCCACUCGACAGCACUAACAACAAAUGACUAAUGACGCUGAGCAUCUUUUCAUGGGCUUGUUGGCCAUUUGAACCUCUUCUUUGGAGAAACGUCUAGUCAAAUCCUUUGUCCAUUUUUUAACUGGGCUGCUUGUCCUCUGGUUGUCGAGUUGUAAGAGUCCUUUAUAUGUUCUGGAUGUUAAACUCUUAUCAGACACAUGAUUUGCAAAUAUUGUCUCCAGACAGUUUUUCUAGAGGUUGGCUUUUGCGCAUUCUUGAUAAGCUCUUUUGGUGCAUAACAGUUUUUCAUUUUUAUGAAGUCCAAUUUAUCUAUCUUUUCUUUUCUUGCAUGUGCUUCUGGUGUCAAAUCUAGGAAUCCAUUGCCAUACUCGAGGUCAUGAGGAUUUACCCUGAUGUUCUUUUCUCAGGAGCUUUAUAGUUUCAGCUCUAUUUGUAUUUAGGCUGUUGAUGCAUUUUGAGAUAGUUUCCGUAUGUGGUGUGUG